rnacentral:misc_RNA from 1 species
AAGUCGUAACAAGGUUUCCGUAGGUGAACCUGCGGAAGGAUCAUUACUGAAUUUAAAGAUUGGGGUUGUAGCUGGCCUUCAUCAGGCAUGUGCACACCCUGGUCAUCCAAAUUCUAAACCUCUGUGCACCUUUCAUAGGAUGGUUGUGGGUUGUCGGCUUUUGGCUGAUGACUCUGACUAUUCUAUGCAUUUAUAUUAAACGCUUUAGUAACGAAUGUAAUCUGCGUUUGACGCAUUAAAUAUACAACUUUCAACAACGGAUCUCUUGGCUCUC